rnacentral:lncRNA from 1 species
UUGAGCUAAUCAUACAUGAAAUUAUUUUCUCUAAGGGUGGUCCAUUUAUGAUUUAAUCAUCGAAUGAUAUUUUUGGUACUAAUAUUAUCAUUUGUGCCAAAAGUACCAUUUUAUUGUUUUUUUUUCUUUUUUUUUGUUUUUUUUUUUGUUUUUGUUUUUUUGUUUUUUUUUUUUCUUGUUGUUACUUUUAGCACUAAUAUUGUCAUUUGUGCCAAAAGUACCAAUUUACUUAAUUUUUUUUCUUGUUGGUACUUUUGACACUAAUAGCGAAAAAUGUACCUAAUCCGCGUGCAAACCUGAAUCCAAUCCGCCCUAAUUAAGGGCAAAACAGUCUUAAAAUUAAAAAAUGGCCACAAUUUGUAUUUUUUAGAUGGGUGACCAAAUAUUAUGUUUUAG